rnacentral:rRNA from 1 species
GCAGUAGCCGCGGUAACACGUAGGGUGCGAGCGUUAAUCGGAAUUACUGGGCGUAAAGCGUGCGCAGGCGGCUUUGCAAGACAGAUGUGAAAUCCCCGGGCUCAACCUGGGAACUGCAUUUGUGACUGCAUGGCUAGAGUACGGUAGAGGGGGAUGGAAUUCCGCGUGUAGCAGUGAAAUGCGUAGAUAUGCGGAGGAACACCGAUGGCGAAGGCAAUCCCCUGGACCUGUACUGACGCUCAUGCACGAAAGCGUGGGGAGCAAACAGGAUUAGAGACCCGUGUAGUCCCUGUCUCUUAUAC